GGGGGUAGUGCGGUCACAGGGUCCGGCUUGUCAUCUGGAUCCUCGGGGUUCAAUUCCCCGUACCUCCA
rnacentral:tRNA from 1 species